rnacentral:rRNA from 1 species
CCAAUAGCGUAUAUUAAAGUUGUUGCAGUUAAAAAGCUCGUAGUUGAAUUUCGGGAUUGACGUGAUGGUCAUGCCUUAAGGGGUAUGAACUGUUACUGUUGCUUUCUCCCCUUCUGGAGAAACUUGAUGUCCUUUAUUGGGUGUCUUGCGGAUCCAGGACCUUUACCUUGAAAAAAUUAGAGUGUUUAAAGCAGGCAUUUUUGCUCGAAUACAUUAGCAUGGAAUAAUAGAAUAGGACGGCAUGGUUCUAUUUUGUUGGUUUCUAGGAUCACCGUAAUGAUUAAUAGGGAUAGUUGGGGGCAUUAGUAUUCUAUUGUCAGAGGUGAAAUUCUUGGAUUUAUUGAAGACUAACUACUGCGAAAGCAUUUGCCAAGGAUGUUUUCAUUAAUCAAGAACGAAAGGUAGGGGAUCGAAGACGAUCAGAUACCGUCGUAGUCUUAACCAUAAACUAUGCCGACUAGGAAUCAGACGAUGUUAAUUUUUUAAUGACUCGUUGGGCACCUUACGGGAAACCAAGUGUUUGGGUUC